UACAGAGGUCCCAAGCGUUGUUCGGAUUCACUGGGCGUAAAGGGUGCGCAGGUGGCAUGGCAAGUUUGAUGUGAAAGCUUCGGGCUUAACCCGGAAAUGGCAUUGAAUACUGCUGUGCUGGAGGAUUGGAGGGGGGACUGGAAUUCUUGGUGUAGCAGUGAAAUGCGUAGAUAUCAAGAGGAACACCAGUGGCGAAGGCGAGUCCCUGGACAAUACCUGACACUGAGGCACGAAAGCCAAGGGAGCAAAC
rnacentral:rRNA from 1 species